rnacentral:rRNA from 1 species
AUCGAACGCUGGCGGCAGGCCUAACACAUGCAAGUCGAGCGGAUGAAGGGAGCUUGCUUCUGGUUUCAGCGGCGGAAGGGUGUGUAAUGCCUAGGAAUCUCCCUGCCAGUGGGGGAUAACGUCCGGAAAAGGGCGCUACUACCGCAUACGUGCUGAGGGAGAACGUGGGGGAUCUUUGGACCUUAUGCUAUCAGAUGAGUCUAGGUCGGACUAGCUAGAUGGUGGGGUAAAGGCCUACCAAGGCGACGAUCCGUAACUGGUCUGAGAGGAUGAUCAGUCACACUGGAACGGGGACGGCGUCAGGGGGCCUGCGGGAGGCAGCAGUGGGGAAUAUGAGGCAGCAGGCGGGAGCCUGAUCCAGCCGGGCCACGUGUGAUGAGGAGGUCUUCGGAGUGUGAAGCAGGUUAAGGUGUGGGAAAGGGCAGUAGGUUAUGACGUAGCUGUUGUGACGGUACCAACUGAAGAAGCACCGGCUAACUACGUG